GCUAGUUGUAUUAACUAUUAGUUAAUACAAGAUCGACUAUGUCGACUAAAGUUCUAGGUAGAAUAAUGAUGAUGACAAUUUUCUACCUAUAUGUCUUGACCAAAUCUCGUGCCAGCAGUCGCGGUAAUACGUGAAAGACUAGUGUUAUUCAUCUUUAAUAGGUUUAAAGGGUACCUAGACGGUUUAUCUAGCCCAAAACAGGGUACGGAUUUUCUAGAGUUUUAUGUGAGGAGGGGAGUACUCAUAGAGUAAAGAUGAAAUUUUGUGAUACUAUGGGGAAACUGGUGGCGGCGAAAGCAACCUUCUAUGUAUAAACUGACGUUGAGGGACGAAGGCUUGGGUAGCAAAUAGGAUUAGAUACCCUAGUAGUCCAAGCAGACAAUUCUGAAUGCCAUAGAUUAGAUUUUUUUUGGUCUAUAAAUGAAAGUGUAAGCAUUCCACCUUAGGAGUAAUGUGGCAACACAGGAACUGAAAUCAUUAGACCGUUUCUGAAACCAGUAGUGAAGUAUGUUAUUUAAUUUGUUAGUCCUCAAAAAACCUUACCACAACUUGAAUAUUAUUUAAUUAAUACAAGCGUUGCACGGCUGUCUUCAGUUAAUGUCGUGAGAUUUUGGUUAACUCCCUCAAUUAACGUAAACCCUUACUUUA
rnacentral:rRNA from 1 species